rnacentral:lncRNA from 1 species
UCCUGUUGAGGGCUUGCUGGGGUUGGCCGGGAUCUGAGCCGUGUAAGACUUAGGGUUUUGGAAAACUGCAUGACACCCGUUAAGGGUGUGGCUAUCUCAUAUAUAUAAGGGGUACACCAAGGUGUAUGAUACAAUAUACAAGACAUAUACAGAAGCUAUAUGUAAAUACAGUCUAACACCCUCCCUCAAUCUUAACUAUGCCCUGAAGUACAAAGUAUAUUAAGAUUGCGCCUGCAGCCUACAAACUGAGGUUGUGGAAGAGGCUUCGUGAAGAUGUCAGCAAGUUGAUCUUUGGAGGAGAUGAAUUUGAUGUGGAGUAGCUUCUGUGCAACACAUUCCCGUACAAAAUGAUAGUCAACUUCUAUGUGCUUUGUCCGAGCAUGAAACACCGGAUUAGAUGAGAGAUAUGUAGCUCCAAUGUUAUCACACCAAAGGACAGGCGGCUGAGUUUGAGGAACUCCCAACUCUCUCAAUAGGGACUGUACCCAUAUGAUCUCAGCUGUAGCAUUUGCAACUGCUUUAUAUUCUGCUUCAGUGCUACUCCUGGACACUGUAGCUUGUUUGCGAGCAGCCCAGGCUAUCAAGUUAGGACCAAAGAAGACAGCAUGUCCCCCCGUGGAUCGCCUGUCAUCUGGAUUACCAGCCCAGUCAGCAUCUGAAAAAGCAGAAAGCGUAGGAGACGGUGCUGGCUGAAGGAGCAAACCAUAUGAGGCAGUAAAGCAAACAUAACGAAGAAUCCGCUUCACCGCUGUCCAAUGAGAAGUUCGAGGAGCAUGAAGAAAUUGGCAGACACGAUUGACUGCAUAUGAGAUAUCUGGCCGAGUGAUAGUUAAAUACUGCAGGCCACCAACAACGCUACGAUACUCAGUGGCGUCAUCAGAGGUGAGAGGAUCUCCAUCAAACGCAGACAGACGGUCAUUAGCAGACAUAGGAGUCAUGGCAUGUUUGCAUUUAAGCAUACCUGCCCGUCGCAACAGGUCCAUCGAAUACUUAUGCUGUGUGAGUGUCAAGCCAGUAGAAGAACGUGAAACUUCCAGCCCAAGGAAGUAAUGCAACGUUCCUAAAUCCUUCACCGCAAAAUCUCCACUCAAGGAAGAUAUCAGACGGUCAGCAGCAGCAUCCGAGGAGCUAAUGAGGAUAAUGUCAUCAACAUAUACCAGAAGAUACAUCGUCACUUGAGGUCGAUGCAGAAGGAAGAGCGAGGUGUCAGCAGUAGAGGGAACAAAACCAAGUGACCGAAGAACAGAGCCCAAUCUGGCAUGCCAAGCACGAGGAGCCUGCUUCAACCCAUAGAGCGCCUUGACCAGGCGACACAGAUGAUGAGGACGAGUAGGAUCAACGAAACCAGGGGGCUGACGCAUGUAAACCUCCUCAUCCAGAACACCAUGAAGAAAGGCAUUCUGAACAUCCAGCUGACGAAGAAACCAACCCCGAGUAACAGCCAAGGACAACAGAAGUCGAAUAGUUGUUGGUUUGAUCACCGGACUGAACGUAUCCUCAUAGUCAAGACCAUACCUUUGCUUGAACCCUUUCGCCACUAACCGUGCCUUAUAGCGUUCAAUAGAACCAUCAGCAUGCUUCUUAACCUUGAAGACCCACUUGGAAUCAAUGAUAUUGACACCAGAGACUGGGGGAAGAAGCUGCCAAGUACCAUUUGUCAACAAUGCCUGAUACUCUUGCUCCAUAGCUUGACGCCAAUGAGGAAUCCCGAGAGCAACCUGGAAGUGACGCGGUUCAGCCGAAGGAUCUUCCUUGACAUGAGCAACACAUGCCGCAAGCCAGGCGACCGUCCCAUCUUUGCGUUGCUUGGGACACACAAUACCGGAUCGACUGCGAGUAUGUGGUCGACGAGGAACGGCCGCAGGUGGUUCAACCAGUGGCAACGGCCCCGGCGAUGAAGAAGUAUCCGACGCAGCCGGUGACGAUGCAGUAGCGACAGGCGAGGACGAGGCCGACCCAGGCGAGGCCGACCCGGGCGACAGACUCGACUGGAUGGGCGAGCCAGUCGGCGCAAGGCCAACCGAGGCGCGGCAGCCCAGCCCAGGCGAGCUCGCCGGCUCAGGAGAGGCCGGCUCAGAUGGGAGCACCAGCUCGGGGGAGGCCGGCCCAAACGGGAUCACCGGUUCGGGGGAGGCCGGCGCAGGGGAGACCAGCCCGGGCAAGGCCGACCCAGGCGGGACCGACCCAGCCUCAGAAGAGGCCGGCACGGACAGGGCCGACGCUGAGGCGCCUAGUCUAGGCAUGCAUGGCGCAUGCACGUCGGGUGCAGUUGAUGGCUCCGGCUCCUCCAGCAACUCCAGGCGAACUCCACGACCCGUUCCUGCAGCAUGAUUAGGUAACAACGCAGGAGAAUAUGCAAUAUCAACAAAUUGAGCAGGCAGUGGAGGGGUGGAUUGCAAGGAGGAGGCUGGAGGUGUGGGAGUUAUGGACAAAGACGAGAACGGGAAUACACUCUCAUCAAACACAACAUCACGCGAGAUGUAGACAUGGUUGGAUGGAAUAUGAAGACACUUGUACCCUUUGUGAAGAGAACUAUACCCAAGAAAUACACAAAGUUUUGACCGAAACUCGAGCUUGCGCUUAUUAUAAGGACGAAGAUGAGGCCAGCAUGCACAACCAAAAACUUUGAGAAAAGUAUAAUCUGGAACCUCAUUAAGUAAUAGUUCAAGUGGUGUUUUCAUCCCAAGGAGACGUGUAGGAAGCCUAUUUAUGAGAAAACAGGCAGUAGAAAAAGCAUCACUCCAAAAACGAAAAGGUGCUGAUGCAUGAGCAAGUAAGGUGAGACCGGUUUCGACAAUGUGACGAUGCUUACGUUCAGCCGUGCCAUUCUGCUGAUGUGUAUGAGGACAAGACACGCGAUGCGAAAUCCCAAGCUUAUUAAAAAAGGAAUUGAGGUUGUGAUAUUCACCCCCCCCCAAUCUGACUGAACAUGAAUAAUCUUAUGUUUAAGAAGACGCUCAACAUGAGCUUGAAAUUGCAGGAACACAUCAAACACAUCAGAUUUACGUUUGAUAAGAUAAAGCCAAGUGAACCGACUAUAAGCAUCAAUAAAACUGACAUAAUAAUUAUGACCGCUCACAGAAGUUUGGGCAUGCCCCCAUACAUCAGAAUAAAUAAGCUCAAGUGGAGUUUUGACGACACGACUCGAAUCAGAAAACGAAAGCUGAUGACUCUUGCCUUGUUGACAGGCAUCACAGACUGUGGCAACAUCUUUAUUGGACACAACGGGAAGACUAUGGCGAUGAAGAACACUAGAACUAUGGGAGUGGCAGGAUGGCCGAGCCGUGCAUGCCAAUGAGUAGGCGACACACGGACACCAGUGAGUGCUCGAGGGGUAGAAGGCAGAUCAAGUGCAUAUAAUCCAUCGCGCAGGCGACCUCUAAGCAGAACGUCCUUCGUGGCCCGAUCCUUGAUAAAAAAAUAAAAAGGAUGAAACUCAGUGAAAACAUUGUUAUCACGAGUAAGCUGAGGAACAGAUAAUAGGCUACGAGUAGCAGAAGGAACUCUAAGGACAUUACGAAGAUGGAGAGAUUUCUGUGUAUGAGUUAAAAGAGAGGCCUGACCAACAUGUGAUAUGUGCAUACCUGCUCCACUGGCGGUGUGAACCUGAUCAUUACCACGGUAUGGCUCCUGAACUGAGAGUUUGCCCAUCUCGCCCGUCAAAUGAUUCGUAGCGCCCGUGUCCAUAUACCAUGUCGGAUCAAUGGGAUAUGAUGUAGUGUGGCCUGCUUGACGAGCAGGCUCAUGAGUGGCCAAGGCAGCUUGUUUCUCGUUGCCUUUGCCAUUGUUGCCGACGCCGAAGAAGUCCUGCUUGAAGCGACGAUGACAGCGGGAAGCAACAUGACCUGGAAUGUUGCACAGUUGACAGGGGAGCUGGACGCCACAAGAACGGCAGCAGGCACACGAACGACCACCCCCGGUCGUGGGGAAAGGGGCUGCGGCAGGCGACCGCGGAGCCUGCAGAGUCAAUGGUGCUGUUUUGCCCGCUGCAGUUGACUUGAAGGGCUUCCCUCUUCCACGAGUGGCAGCGUUGGCAGCCACGAAACUCGGAUUGGUACGGCGGGACUUGAUGCGUUGUUCCGUGGCAAGGAGGCGGGCGUAGAGCUCACGGGGUUCAAGUGGAGUAUCACGGCCAUUGAUGUUCUCAGCAAGGUUAUCAUAGUCGUCAUCCAGGCCGUUCAUGACGAAGGUGGUGAAGUCCUCUUUGCGAAGCGGUUGACCAAUGGACGCCAGAGUGUCUGCGAGACGCGUCAUCUUGCCGAAGUAGUCGGUAAUGCUGAGGUCAAGAAGCUUGGUCUCUCCCAGCUCCGUACGAAGAGUGUGAGCACGAGCCUGCUGCUGAGAUGCAAAGCUGGUGUGAAGGGUAGACCACGCCUCCUGGGACGUGGCAGUGAAGAGAACCAAGGAGGACACCACCUCGGUGAGCGACGACUGGAUCGCCGAAAGUAUGGCCUGAUCCUGAGCCACCCACGCAUGAUAUGCCGGGUGAUGUGGUGGAGGACACGGCAAGGACCCGUCGACGUAGCCCUCCAGGUAGCGACUGCGGAGAAGUGGCAACACCUGUGCACGCCAUGACAGAUAAUUGUCCGUCGUCAGCUUUACUGGGAUCAAAUGCGCGAAGUAGAACGGCGUGCUGGCCACGGCAUGAUCAGCAGGAGGAGGCGCCGUGUAGUAGCCGCCGUAGGGUAAUGGCAGCGGCGGGGCCCUGUCCGACCCAGCGUUCGCGGCGACAGGUGAAGGCGCGUAGGGCGCGUAGGGCGCGUAGGGCGCCGCUGCAACAGCGGCAGGAGACGCAGCUGCGACGGGUGCGUAGGGCGGCGCCCCGUAGUGGCCCGUUGAUGAAGUAGCGGCCCCGUAGGGGCCAUAGGCCGCCGAUCUGGCAGGGACGGGCGCCGCCCCGUAGGGGCCUGCGGGUGGCGUUGGAGCAGCCCCGUAGGGGCCAUAGGUGGUCGAUCCCAUCCACGGACCGGUGUACGAAGGAUCCCCCGGAGCCGGCGGAGGCGCGGCCGGUGACGACGGCGGAGGCUGAUCCGAGGAGGCGCCUACCAUCGAAGAUUGGCCGGUGUAGACCGAAACCAGGGGACGCGAGGAGAGGAACGGCGAUGCAGGCGCCGUGACAGAAGCCGGCGCGACGGCGGCGACGGAGUUGGGCGCGAUCGCGGUGGCGGAGGCGGCGGCGGCGGCAGCAGCGGAAGACAUAGGACCGGUUAGGGUUGAUACCAUGUCAAGGAAGAUCCUUCGGCUGAACCGCGUCACUUCCAGGUUGCUCUCGGGAUUCCUCAUUGGCGUCAAGCUAUGGAGCAAGAGUAUCAGGCAUUGUUGACAAAUGGUACUUGGCAGCUUAUUCCCCCGGUCUCUGGUGUCAAUGUCAUUGAUUCCAAGUGGGUCUUCAAGGUUAAGAAGCAUGCUGAUGGCUCUGAUACCAUGUAAGACUUAGGGUUUUGGGAAACUGCACGACACCCGUUAAGGGUGUGGCUAUCUCAUAUAUAUAAGGGGUACACCAAGGUGUACGAUACAAUAUACAAGACAUAUACAGAAGCUAUAUGUAAAUACAGUCUAACAAGCCGCCGUCGAUGGAUUUCUUGCAGGUUGGCGACAUGUUGCUUCGGAUUUGGUACUAUCCCCAUCUCCCUCUCCCCCUCUCCCUCGGUGUGGACGCACGCACCUAAACCCAAAACCUGAACUGAAUCAGUCGAGCGCUCGUUGCCGGAUCGUUGUACCAUCGUCCCUGUCGCCGUCGCAUCAGUUCCACACCGCUACAGCGCUGCCUACCACCGCACUCCAUUGGCUUGGAUUUGUUUGUGGCAUGGGCUGGGAACUGUACGGUGUUGUCUGAUGCAUGUUCCGCACUGGGAGGUUUGGUCGGCUGACGCUAGGUUUGUUUCUGAUGUGGCUACUCUGGAAUACAAUUUAUGGGCGAGAGAUCAGACUUUCAGGUUGGGUGCGGUAUUAUAUCUCAUCAGAUUCAGUAACCAGCGUGGAAUUAAUUUUAAUUUUGUUCUUCAUCAGAUAAGUAGAGCCAUGCUUUACCCCAAUCUUCAUUUUAUGAAUCUCAACUUCAAAAAUCAUGAUAGUUGCACUGUAUUUUGUUGAGUCCAACACAAAGCUGAGAGCAGAGUACCUACUUUGUCUUGGUAAGCCAAAUAGUUGGUACUUGCUGAGGCUACAAAAUUAUCUUAAUUGUUCCAUUUAGUAGUUCACUGAAUAUUAAACAAUGCUGUUUCUUCCACUGGGGAGUUGUUUUAUGUAGCCCGAACAACAAACAGCCUAUGAACUUCUAAACCAAUUCUUUUUUUUAUUAGGACCCUGCUCUUUUAACUGAAAAACUGGGAGCACUAGCAGUUCUUCACAAGGUAAUCACCUCCUAUGAAUGUUUGGUGGUGCUGCUCCAAUUUCUAUUGCAGUGCUUCUGAUGUAUGAAUGGAUUAUUUUCCUCAUUUGCUAAUUAAUGCAACUGGCGUAAUUCUUCAUGAGAAUAGAUAUUUUUGUAGUGCACAGUAUGAUGUUUUUAGUUACCCUCCUUAUGAAUAGAUUUUUUGUAGUGCACAGUACAAUAUUUUUGUCAGGGUUGCAUGUUGCUUGCUACUGCUACUGCUUGUACAAUUGUGUUUUUUUGUAAUAUUUCUUAACUGUUAAGAGAUAUGGCCACACUGAGAUUUUGCUAUGGGCAGGAAAGUGGAUUGGACAAUGCCGCUAGUUCGGAUGGCGCCCCAUAUGGUUGUCGACCAUGGGCGACGUGAGGAGGGACAAGGUAGAGAAAGGGGGUCAGGUUGGCGCCACAUUAGAGGUGAGCGAGGGGGCCGGGGUUGCGUCGCUGCAGAGAUGCGCGAGGGGAUCGGAGCUGCCAAGCGGAUUAAUCAGAGCACUUCGCUCCUGCUGCCUUUGGCCUGAUGCUUAGAUGGAUUGAUGCGUAAGUUUGAAUCCUUUCAUUUUUCACUUCUCUAAUGGGUGGCUGAUGGCCUGAUGCUUUGAUGGAUCGAUGCAUGCUAGAACUGGCUGAUAUGUGCGUGUGUGUGCACAUUUUUUUCUUUUGAUUUUUGUAGAGAUUGGCUCAUGCUUCUCUGCUUAUGGAUUUCUUCUUUCUUCUGUCUGUGUUUCUCACUCUGUUGUUGAAUGAUCUGGUGAUUUUUUUUCUUUGUGGGCUUAUCUGAUGAAAUUUACUGCUACUUAGAUUGUGCACUGACACUGCCACCAGAAGAUAGAUCAUAGAUGCAUGUGUUUGCUUUCGAACAUGGUGCGUAAUCUUGUGGUUUGCCAACUGUCACCUCCGGCAAUUUCAGUUCAACAUGUCUUGGUUUUUGCAUUCUGAGUUCAGAGUUCUACAUAGUGGAAUGGUUAGUAUAUGGGAGUUUGCAUCUAUAGUUGCAUACUGUGGUUCCAUUCCGNNNNNNNNNNNNNNNNNNNNNNNNNNNNNNNNNNNNNNNNNNNNNNNNNNNNNNNNNNNNNNNNNNNNNNNNNNNNNNNNNNNNNNNNNNNNNNNNNNNNNNNNNNNNNNNNNNNNNNNNNNNNNNNNNNNNNNNNNNNNNNNNNNNNNNNNNNNNNNNNNNNNNNNNNNNNNNNNNNNNNNNNNNNNNNNNNNNNNNNNNNNNNNNNNNNNNNNNNNNNNNNNNNNNNNNNNNNNNNNNNCAAAUGAUACCACAUUAGUAUAGUAGAACGUACCACUUCCUCUUAAGAUUUCAGAAAUGACAUGUCAAGGACAGGGUAUAGAGCUCCGAAGAGUAUUCUCCUUCCGUCAUCGGUUGCUAAAUCAGUAACGCCCAGCGUUGUGUGCGAUGGAGCCCUUACUGCUGUUCACAACUGAACUCUUUAUUUUAUUUUAAUCCUUCAGAUUUGUCGGGUCAGGGAUCCUUCAGUUUUGUUGGAUCAGAAGUAAGAGCACCGGGACUUCAAGGACGAUGUAGAUUGUCGAAGGAAGUUGCAGAGUGCAUGGGCAGCAGUACCAGAGCAAGAACCUCGCGCGUGACGGAGCUGCUGUGGUAGAGAAGCAAAACUCAACGACUAACUCUACAAGCUCUGGUCACUCUCUUAAACAUCACUAACGUAAUCAUAUCUCACUCCAUUAUGCAAAUCUUAUUUUCUGAUUUUUUUGAUUCCAUUUCAGUACUUGUACCUUUUUACAAUGCGUUUAGUGCAUAUGAAUGAAGUAUAUUGAUUUAUCUUCUACCUAUGGUUUGCUAUGCUUUAUUGGUGCUCAACGUUUUUGACAUGUUGGCAUGCAUAUUACUAAAUUUGGUCAAGCAACCCGCCAACAGAUACAAAGAAGGUGAGUUUAUAAUGUGUAAUACCCAUUUCCUUUUUCUUUUUAUCCUGCAAUGUGCAAUACUUAAGUGGAAUUCAGUUAUUGAUGUUUGUUUUAUGCGGUUGAAAAAAGAAUCUCAAAUUUGGUGACCCUAUGUUGCUGGUUUGAUUAUGAUAAAUGCUUGUUGAAAUGAGCCAACUGAUAUUUUUUCUGCUGCAUGUCACCCUUGCGUGACGAAAGUUAUAUUGUCUAAGCGACGACUUAAUUGAUUAUAGUUCUCUUUAUCCCUGAAAGGUGCUAUGCAACAAUACAAAAUUGCUUUUGUUUGCAGGGUUAUAUGUCUUCUGAUCAUCUUGAUGGCAUAUAUGAGGACCUGCAAUACUGAACCUGGAAGUUAGUCAUUGAGGCAGUGGUCAUGGUAGUGAUAUCUACUGUGAGAACAUAAACGUUUGGCCCUCCUUUUUGCCACGAAGGAUUAUGAUCAACUGGACUUGCAGAACCAGUUAAUGGCAUGAUGCUGGCAGUAGUAAUGGAGGGUUGUGAUUUCUGGAUGGUAAAUUCUGAAUUGGAAAUGAUAUUUUCUAAUGUAUUCAUACAGUUAGAUAAUAUCAUAUUAGAUUUUCUUCUCUUACCUAGAACGUCUGCCAUGUAAAGCAUGCUUCCCUUUGAUUUGCUGUUGUGCUAGGAAUAGGACGGAUUGGCGUCCUCUUCUCACGAAACACACUGACAUAAAGUUUCUGGUUUCUGACGUACAAGGAUUAUUUACUAUGAACAAACAUUGCAAUGUUCAUUGGUAGUACUGUUUGUUGAGGCGAUGCCUCUGCCACAGGUAUGAAAUUAUCGUUGGGCCUUCAACUAUUUUUAUUUGAUGUAUAUGCUUCCAAACACUACUUGUUCCAGUACUACAUACUGGACAAAAACAAUUUCCUUAUAUGCCUGAACACGGCAUGGCUAAUUAGUAAUUGCACUACAUUCCUAAUAACUUCUAAACUUUUGGGAGGCAUGGCAAUGUUCUUCAACCAUGAGUAAGUUCAUAUAUAAUUAGACACUUCAAAAAUAAUGUCCUGUGACACAACUCACCUUGGUAACUAUGCUACAAAGUGUCCGAACCUACAUUUUAUAUCAGGAUGAUAAAAUUUCACCAAUCUAUCAUCGUUCAUACAAAAUUGAACUUGGGAGUGUUAAAAACCGCCGUCACUAAUUUAGCUAACCACUUACCAGUAGGUAAUCUAGCUAAUCGCUCACCAAGUAAGUAAUCUUUAAUCUGACGUUGUAUAUUGACUGUAGGACAAUAACAACCCAGUUUUCAACAGCUGCAAAAUAUUAAAAUGCUGCUAAUUUAAGAAUUGAGGAGAUUGCCUUUUCAUUUUGUAAAAUCUUCCUGUUCCAUUGUUCCACCUAAAGUGACCAAGCAUGAUCUUUAAUUUGCCAUGUAUGAUGCAGGGGAGCCAUUUUAUUAAGCUGGCAUUAGCACAAAAACACAAUAACCGUUGGGAGGGCUCCUUUGUAUCCCUAGACCCACACCCACACCCGACCGCCAUCUCCCACUUUCCUCAGUAUCACGACCUGAUGCGACGUUGGCAACACAAUCAGUCGGAGGAGGCCAGCGGUGGCGAUGACGGCUCUGCGAUGGGGAAAGGUCGCUUGUCGUCGCGGCACCAGCAAUUCCAGGAUCGCAUAAUACCCGCAUGUUGAUGACCUCCAGGACUCUCCGGCCUCCUCCCUCCAGGUACCUCUCCAAACCCUAACCGUCUCUGAGGUUCACAAUUUAUUACUAUACUACUAUUGUUUAAUUAGAUGGUAACAUAAAACUUUGAGUGUCUUAUAGGAGUUUUUAUUCACGGUUUGAGAUGCUAACUGGGUUCUCUCUGUCUCUCACAAGUUUGUCCUUGUGUUAUCUCUUUAUUCAGGGUACUCCCUCCAUUUCUGAAUAUAAUACCUUUUAGAGAUUUCACUAUAGACUACACACGUAACAAAAUGAGUAAAUCUACACUCUAAAGUAUGUCUAUACAUCCGUAUGUAGACCACGAUGGAAUCUAUAAAAGGUCUUAUAUUUAGGAACGGAGGGAGUAAAAAAUGCCUAGAAUAAAGAAAUGAUGAAUUGUAUUGUACUCAUUAUUGUAGUUAAAGAUUAUGUCUAUGUGAACGAUCGCCCUUUAAAUGAAGGUGUUCGUGACUAUGCAGCAGAAAUGUCAUUUUACCAGAGAGGUAAGCAAAUUUUGUAUCUGCAUCGGUAUAUUGCUGCAUUGUUCAUGAGUUCGACAACUAAAAUUGGGAAUUUGAUUCGUUAAACAUAUAUACCGACCAAAUAGUUUGUCGAAGCUUUCAAAACAUGUACUUACAGGAUAUUUUCUUCCGUGAUGCAGGUUCUAGAACAGACCCAGCAACAAGUGAGUUAAAAGUUUCCAACUAUUUUUGUCAAAUAUGCUACUUGCUUGAGCUGUUUUUGGACUUGAAGUAGGUGAACUGGGAAUUCGAUAUGGUUCAUGCAACCUUUUCUCUUGAGUGCAGUACGUCCCAACGGCUUAUCCAGGCGACGGAAAAGGAUUAAGAGGGGGUGCUGCAGUACCUGAUAGAAACCUAUAGGGGCCUCCCUGGUUAGUCCAAGAGAAUGGCAAGUGGUCACACUGAUCUCCAAAUUUUUAAUUCAGUCUUCAACUAAAAUUAAUCGAUUCGGUAAAUUUGAUGAAGUUUGGCCAUGGUUAUGCACAUACCAGUGCACUGCUUCAAGUCUAUUUAUGAUUGAUGUGGCAUCUCACUUCAGGCAAGGCAUCUGCGAAUGUGACCGACAGGUGGAAUACUAGAAUGCCUACAUAGGGAGCACACUGGAUGGGUUAAGGUCAGUCGUUCUAACGAAUUCCACCAAGAAUUUUCAUGAAACCUUCAGAGAUUAAUUCCUCUUUAUUUGGUAAGUUACUUACAUGUGUCGCCAGAUUAAGUGAACCGCUGACUUAAAGUGUUUCUGUUUGCUUAGAUUGAUGAGUCAAACAAGAACAAUACUUCUCUUAAUCAGUUGAGGGGCAGAAUUGUGGUCUUUGAUUGUGAAGAUGAUUGCAACCAAAACCGAGCUACAUGGAUCUCCACUGCAGGGUCUUGAUAUUCUGAAAGCAAGGCACUAACUGAACUUCUGUUUUUCAUCCUUAUAUAUCUGCAGUAAAAAAUAGCAGUUCUAGGUAAGGGAGGUUAUUUGCAUUGGUUCCCUUUCUGUAUGGUGUUCUUCCAUCCAUUUUCUUCCUUCUCUAUAGUCAUGUUUGUUAUCAGUUCGAUUACUGCAAUAGACAUAUACAUGUAUAUGUGGAUUGUGGUAUAGUUCUAGGUAAAAAUGGAGCAGUUGUUCACUUGUUCUAUAACAGUCGAAAGGGAUUUCCAGUGAAACUCUAGGUAUGUAGCUGUGUUUUAUUUUGAACCAGUAAUAAUACUAGAAUGAUUUCCUGGCCAGGACAAAUUGAUGUGUGUGAAUACCAUUAAACUGUUAUGAUAAAAUAUUUAGUCUAAUAAGAGUCAAAAAAUACGAUUUUGGGGAAAGUUUUCAUAUCCCAAUCGUGGUACAUUAAGAAAAUGAGUACCUUAUACAUGUAUUGAGUACCUUACUUUCUUGUUAUAGUUUAUCUGCUGAUGGUGCUUCACUACAAAUUACUGGAAUUUUGUGGGCACUACUAAUGAUAAUAUCAUUCUUUCCGCGAGUUGCGGAUACAAUAUUGAAGGUUACAAGUCUAUUAAUCGGCCGCCUACCCAUUUUCUGUUAUUUAGUUACCAGUUUAACUCAUAAAACUAAAGUAUGAUUGAUGCUGGAGAUAAUGUUGUUGCUAAGAAUUCGAAGUGUUGGGGAACGUAGCAGAAAUUCAAAAUUUUCCUACGUGUCACCAAGAUCUAUCUAUGGAGAAACCAGCAACGAGGAGAAGGAGAGUGCAUCUACAUACCCUUGUAGAUCGCUAAGCGGAAGCGUUCAAGAGAACGGGGUUGAAGGAGUCGUACUCGUCGUGAUCCAAAUCACCGGAGAUCCUAGUGCCGAACGGACGGCACCUCCGCGUUCAACACACGUACAGCCCGGUGACGUCUCCCAUGCCUUGAUCCAGCAAGGAGAGAGGGAGAGGUUGAGGAAGACUCCGUCCAGCAGCAGCACAACGGCGUGGUGGUGAUGGAGGAGCGUGGUAGUCCAGCAGGGCUUCGCCAAGCACCGCGAGAUAUGAGGAGAAGGGAGAGAGGUAGGGCUGCGCCAAGAGGAGAAGGGAGGGAUUCUCGUGUGUUGGGCAGCCCCCAAUCCUCUAGUAUUUAUAGGGGUAGGGGAGGGGGCUGCGCCCCCUCUAGGGUUCCCUCCCCAGGGGUGGCGGCAGCCCCCAGAUCCCAUCUGGGUGGCGGCCAGAGGGGGAGAGAGGGGAGGCGCGCCUGGGGCGGGCCUUAGGGCCCAUCUGCCCUAGGGUUUGCCCCCUCCCACUCUCCCCUGCGCCUUGGGCCCCUUGUGGGGGGCGCACCAGCCCACCUGGGGCUGGUUCCCUCCUACACAUGGCCCAUGCAGCCCUCCGGGGUAGGUGGCCUCACUUGGUGGACCCCCGGGACCCUCCCGGUGGUCCCGGUACGUUACCGAUAAAACCCGAAACUUUUCCGGUGACCAAAACAGGACUUCCCAUAUAUAAAUCUUUACCUCCGGACCAUUCCGGAACUCCUCGUGACGUCCGGGAUCUCAUACGGGACUCCGAACAACAUUCGCUAACCACAUACAAACUUCCUUUAUAACCCUAGCGUCAUCGAACCUUAAGUGUGUACACCCUACGGGUUCGGGAGACAUGAAGACAUGACCGAGACGUUCUCCGGUCAAUAACCAACAUCGGGAUCUGGAUAUCCAUGUUGGCUCCCACAUGUUCCACGAUGAUCUCAUCGGAUGAACCACGAUGUCAAGGACUCAAUCGAUCCCGUAUACAAUUCCCUUUGUCUAGCGGUAUUUUACUUGCCCGAGAUUCGAUCGUCGGUAUACCGAUACCUUGUUCAAUCUCGUUACCGGCAAGUCUCUUUACUCGUUCCGCAACACAUCAUCCCGUGAUCAACCCCUUGGUCACAUUGUGCACAUUAUGAUGAUGUCCUACCAAGUGGGCCCAGAGAUACCUCUCCGUUUACACGGAGUGACAAAUCCCAGUCUCGAUCCGUGUCAACCCAACAGACACUUUCGGAGAUACCUGUAGUGCACCUUUAUAGUCACCCAGUUACGUUGUGAUGUUUGAUACAUCCAAAGCACUCCUACGGUAUCCGGGAGUUACACGAUCUCAUGGUCUAAGGAAGAGAUACUUGACAUUAGAAAAGCUCUAGCAAAUGAACUACACGAUCUUUGUGCUAUGCUUAGGAUUGGGUCUUGUCCAUCACAUCAUUCUCCUAAUGAUGUGAUCUCGUUAUCAACGACAUCCAAUGUCCAUAGCCAGGAAACCAUGACUAUCUGUUGAUCACAACGAGCUAGUCAACUAGAGGCUCACUAGGAACAUAUUGUGGUCUAUGUAUUCACACGUGUAUUACAAUUUCCGGAUAAUACAGUUAUAGCAUGAAUAAAAGACAAUUAUCAUGAACAAGGAAAUAUAAUAAUACUUUUAUUAUUGCCUCUAGGGCAUAUUUCCAACAGUCUCCCACUUGUACUAGAGUCAAUAAUCUAGUUCACAUCGCCAUGUGAUUAACAUUGAAGGUCACAUCGCCAUGUGACCAACAUCCAAAGAGUUUACUAGUGUCAUUAAACUAGUUCAUAUCAUCAUGUGAUUAAGACUCAAUGAGUUCUGGGGUUUGAUCAUGUUUUGCUUGUGAGAGAGGUUUUAGUCAACGGGUCUGCAACAUUCAGAUCCGUAUGUACUUCGCAAAUCUCUAGGUCAUAUUGUAAUGUUGCUUCCAGGCUCCACUUGGAGCUAUUCCAAAUGGUCGCUCCACUAUACGUAUCCGGUUUGCUACUCAGAGUCACUCGGAUAGGUGUUAAAGCUUGCAUCGACCUUUACGCCGAACUCUUUAUCACCUCCAUAAUCGAGAAACAUGUCCUUAUUACUCCAAGGACAAUUUUGACCGCUGUUGAAUGAUCCAUUCCUGGAUCAUUCUUGUACCCCUUGACUGACUCAUGGCAAGGCACACUUCCGGUGCGGUACACAGCAUAGCAUACUAUAGAGCCUACGUCUGAAGCAUAGGGGACGACAUUCGUCCUUUCUCUCUAUUCUGCCGUGGUCGAGCUUUAACUCUUAACUUCAUACCUUACAACUCAGGCAAGAACUCCUUCUUUGACUGAUCCAUCUUGAACACCUUCAAGAUCAUGUCAAGGUAUGUGCUCAUUUUGAAAGUACCAUUUGCGUUUUUUGAUCUAUCCUCAUAGAUCUUGAUGCUCAAUGUUCAAGUAGCUUAAUCCAGGUUUUCCAUUGAAAAACAUUUUUCAAAUAACCCUAUAUGCUUUCCAGAAAUUCUACAUCAUUUCUGAUCAACAAUAUGUCAACGACAUAUACUCAUCAGAAAUUCUAUAGUGCUCCCACUCACUUCUUUGGAAAUACAAGUUUCUCAUAAACUUUGUAUAAACAAAAAAUCUUUGAUCAUCUUAUCAAAGUGCAUAUUCCAACUCCGAGAUGCUUACUCCAGUCCAUGGAAGGAUCGCCGGAACUAGCAUACCUUUUAGCAUCCUUAGGAUCGACAAAACUUUUCUGAUUGUAUCACAUACAACCUUUCCUUACGAAAACUGGUAAGGAAACUUGUUUUGACAUCCAUCUGCCAGAUUUCAUAAAUGCAGCUAAUGCUAACAUGAUUCUGACGGACUUUAAGCAUCGCUACGGAUGAGAAGAUCUCAUCGUAGUCAACUCCUUGAACUUGUGAAAAACUCUUCGCCACAAGUCGAGCUUCAUAGAUGGUGACAUUACCAUCCACGUCCGUCUUCUUCUUAAAUAUUCAUUUAUCUCAAUGGCUCGCCGAUCAUUGGGCAAGUCCACCAAAGUCCAUGCUUUGUUCUGAUACUGGAUCCUAUCUCAGAUUUCAUGGCUUCUAACCAUUUGUCGGAAUUUGGGCCCACCAUCGCUACUCCAUAGCUCGUAGGUUCAUUGUUGUCUAGCAACAUGACCUUCAAGACAGGAUUACUGUACCACUCUAAAGUAGUAUGCAUCCUUGUCACCCUACGAGGUACGGUAGAGACUUGAUCCGAAGUUUCAUGAUCACUAUCAUAAGCUUCUACUUCAAUUGGUGUAGGUGCCACAGGAACAACUUCCUGUGCCCUGCUACACACUAGUUGUAGUGACGGUUCAAUAACCAUAUCAAGUCUCCACCAUCCUCCCACUCAACUUUUCGAGACAAACUUUUCCUCGAGAAAGGACCCGAUUCAAGAAACAAUCCCUAUUGUUUUCGGAUCUGAAUUAGGAGGUAUACCCAACUGUUUUGGGUGUCCUAUGAAGAUGCAUUUUAUCCGCUUUGGGUUCGAGCUUAUCAACCUGAAACUUUUUCACAUAAGCGUCGCAGCCCCAAACCUUUAAGAAAUGACAGCUUAGGUUUCUCUAAACCAUAGUUCAUACGGUGUCAUCUCGACGGAAUUACGUGGUGCCCUAUUUAAAGUGAAUGUGGUUGUCUCUAAUGCCUAACCCAUAAACGAUAGUGGUAAUUCGAUAAGAGACAUCAUGGUACGCACCAUAUCCAACAGGGUGCAACUAUGAUGUUCGGACACACCAUCAAACUAUGGUGUUCCAGGCGGUAUUAAUUGUGAAACAAUUUCCACAAUGUCUUAAUUGCGUGCCAAAGCUCGUAACUCAGAUACUCAUAUCUAUGAUCAUAUCAUAGACAUUUUAUCCUCUUGUCACGAUGAUCUUCAACUUCACUCUGAAAUUGCUUGAACCAUUCAAUAAUUCAGACUUGUGUUUCAUCAAAUAAAUAUACUCAACAUCUACUUGAAUCAUCUGUAAAGUAAGAACAUAACGAUAUUCACUGCAUGCCUCAGCACUCAUUGGACUGCACACAUCAAAAUGUGUUACUUCCAACAAGUUGCUAUCUUGUUCCAUCUUACUGAAAACGAGGCUUUUCAGUCAUCUUGCCCAUGUGGUAUGAUUUGCAUAUCUCAAGUGAUUCAAAAUCAAGUGAGUCCAAACGAUCCAUCUGCAUGGAGUUUCUUCAUGCAUAUACACCAAGAGACAUGGUUCACAUGUCUCAAACUUUUCAAAAACGAGUGAGUUCAAAGAUCCAUCAACAUGGAGCUUCUUCAUGUGUUUUAUACCAAUAUGACUUACAUGGCAAUGCCACAAGUAAGUGAUACUAUCAUUACUAUCUUAUAUCUUUUGGCAUGAAAAUGUGUAUCACUACGAUCGAGAUUCAAUAAACCAUUCGUUUCAGAUGCAAGACCAUUGAAGGUAUUAUUCAAAUAAACAGAGUAACCAUUAUUCUCCUUAAAUGAAUAACCGUAUUGCGAUAGACAUAAUCCAAUCAUGUCUAUGCUCAACGCAAACACCAAAUCUCGAUGGUAGAGGGAGCGUGCGAUGCUUGAUCACAUCAACCUUGGAAAUACUUCCAACACAUAUCGCCAGCUCACCUUUAGCUAGUCUCCGUUUAUUCCGUAGCUCUUUUAUUUUGAAUUACUAACACUUAGCAACCGAACCGGUAUCUAAUACCCUGGUGCUACUAGGAGUACUAAUAAAGUACACAUUAACAUAAUGUAUAUCCAAUAUACUUCUAUCGACUUUGCCAGCCUUCUCAUCUACCAAGUAUCUAGGGUGGUUCCGCUUCAGUGCCCGUUCCUCUUAUUACAGAAGCACUUAGUCCCGGGUUUGGGUUCAACCUUGGGUUUCUUCACUAGAGCAGCAGCUGAUUUGCCGUUUCAUGAAGUAUCCCUUCUUGCCCUUGCCCUUCUUGAAACUAGUGGUUUCACCAACCAUCAACAACUGAUGCUCCUUCUUGAUUUCUACUUUCGCGGUGUCAAACAUCGCGAAUACCUCAAGGAUUAUCAUAUCUAUCCCUGAUAUGUUAUAGUUCAUCAUGAAGCUCUAGCAGCUUGGUGGCAAUGACUUUGGAGAAACAUCACUAUCUCAUCUGGAAGAUCAACUCCCACUCAAUUCUAGUGAUUGUUGCACUCAGACAAUAUGAGCACAAGCUCAACGAUUGAGCUUUUCUCCCUUAGUUUGCAGGCUAAGAAAAUCGUCGGAGGUCUCAUACCUCUUGACGUGGGCACGAGCAUGAAAUCCCAAUUUCAGCCCUCGAAAACAUCUCAUAUGUUCCGCAACGUUUCGAAAACGUCUUUGGUGCCUCAACUCUAAACCGUUUAACUGAACUAUCACGUAGUUACCAAAACGUGUAUGUCCGAUGUUUGCAACAUCCACAAACGACGUUUGGGGUUCAGCACACUGAGCGGUGCAUUAAGGACAUAAGCUUUCUACUGUCCGCAUAAUCGCUACUGUCAACUUUCAACUAUAUUUUCUGUAGGAACAUAUCUAAACAAUGGAACUAAAGCGCGAGCUUACGACAUAAUUUGCAAAGAUCUUUUGACUAUGUUCAGGAUAAUUAAGUUCAUCUUAUGAACUCCCACUCAGAUAGACAUCCCUCUGGUCAUCUAAGUGAUUACAUGAUCCGAGUCAACUAGGCCGUGUCCGAUCAUCACGUGGGACGGACUAGUCAUCAUCGGUGAACAUCUUCAUGUUGAUCGUAUCUACUAUACGACUCAUGCUCGACCUUUCGGUCUCCGUGUUCCGAGGCCAUGUCUGUACAUGCUAGGCUCGUCAAGUUAACCCUAAGUGUUUUGCAUGUGUAAAACUGUCUUACACCCGUUGUAUGUGAACGUAAGGAUCUAUCACACCCGAUCAUCACGUGGUGCUUCGAAACGACGAACUUUAGCAACGGUGCACAGUUAGGGGAGAACACUUCUUGAAAUUGUUGUAAGGGAUCAUCUUAUUUACUACCGUCGUUCUAAGUAAACAAGAUGCAUAAACAUGAUAAACAUCACAUGCAAUCAAAUAGUGACAUGAUAUGGCCAAUAUCAUUUUGCUCCUUUUGAUCUCCAUCUUCGGGGCUCCAUGAUCAUCAUCGUCACCGGCAUGACACCAUGAUCUCCAUCAUCGUGUCUUCAUGAAGUUGUCUCGCCAACUAUUACUUCUACUACUAUGGCUACCGGUUAGCAAUAAAGUAAAGUAAUUACAUGGCGUUGUAUAAUGACACGCAGGUCAUACAAUAAAUAAAGACAACUCCUAUGGCUCCUGCCGGUUGUCAUACUCAUCGACAUGCAAGUCGUGAUUCCUAUUACAAGAACAUGAUCAAUCUCAUACAUCACAUAUAUUCAUCACAUUCUUCUUGGCCAUAUCACAUCACAUAGCAUACCCUGCAAAAACAAGUUAGACGUCCUCUAAUUGUUGUUUGCAUGUUUUACGUGGCUGCUAUGGGUUUCUAGCAAGAAUGUUUCUUACCUACGCAAAACCACAACGUGAUAUGCCAAUUGCUAUUUACCCUUCAUAAGGACCCUUUUCAUCGAAUCCGUUCCGACUAAAGUGGGAGAGACUGGCACCCGCUAGCCACCUUAUGCACCAAGUGCAUGUCAAUCGGUGGAACCUGUCUCACGUAAGAGUACGUGUAAGGUCGGUCCGGGCCGCUUCAUCCCACAAUACCGUCGAAACAAGAUUGGACUAGUAACGGUAAGCAUAUUGAACAAAAUCAACGCCCACAACUACUUUGUGUUCUACUCGUGCAAAGAAUCUACGCAAUAGACCUAGCUCAUGAUGCCACUGUUGGGGAACGUAGCAGAAAUUCAAAAUUUUCCUACGUGUCACCAAGAUCUAUCUAUGGAGAAACCAGCAACGAGGAGAAGGAGAGUGCAUCUACAUACCCUUGUAGAUCGCUAAGCGGAAGCGUUCAAGAGAACGGGGUUGAAGGAGUCGUACUCGUCGUGAUCCAAAUCACCGGAGAACCUAGUGCCGAACGGACGGCACCUCCGCGUUCAACACACGUACAGCCCGGUGACGUCUCCCAUGCCUUGAUCUAGCAAGGAGAGAGGGAGAGGUUGAGGAAGACUCCGUCCAGCAGCAGCACAACAGCGUGGUGGUGAUGGAGGAGCGUGGUAGUCCAGCAGGGCUUCGCCAAGCACCGCGAGAUAUGAGGAGAAGGGAGAGAGGUAGGGCUGCGCCAAGAGGAGAAGGGAGAGAUUCUCGUGUGUUGGGCCGCCCCCAAUCCUCUAGUAUUUAUAGGGGGGGGGGGAGGGGAGGGGGCUGCGCCCCCUCUAGGGUUCCCUCCCCAGGGGUGGCGGCAGCCCCCAGAUCCCAUCUGGGUGGCGGCCAGAGGGGGAGAGAGGGGAGGCGCGCCUGGGGUGGGCCUUAGGGCCCAUCUGCCCUAGGGUUUGCCCCCUCCCACUCUCCCCUGCGCCUUGGGCCCCUUGUGGGGGGCGCACCAGACCACCUGGGGUUGGUUCCCUCCCACACAUGGCCCAUGCAGCCCUCCGGGGUAGGUGGACCCCCGGGACCCUCCCGGUGGUCCCGGUACGUUACCGAUAAAACCCGAAACUUUUUCGGUGACCAAAACAGGACUUCCCAUAUAUAAAUCUUUACCUCCGGACCAUUCCGGAACUCCUCGUGACGUCCGGGAUCUCAUCCGGGACUUCGAACAACAUUCGCUAACCACAUACAAACUUCCUUUAUAACCCUAGAGUCAUCGAACCUUAAGUGUGUAGACCCUACGGGUUCGGGAGACAUGAAGACAUGACCGAGACGUUCUCCGGUCAAUAACCAACAGCGGGAUCUGGAUACCCAUGUUGGCUCCCACAUGUUCCACGAUGAUCUCAUCGGAUGAACCACGAUGUCAAGGACUCAAUCGAUCCCGUAUACAAUUCCCUUUGUCUAGCGGUAUUUUACUUGCCCGAGAUUCGAUCGUCGGUAUACCGAUACCUUGUUCAAUCUCGUUACCGGCAAGUCUCUUUACUCGUUCCGCAACACAUCAUCCCGUGAUCAACCCCUUGGUCACAUUGUGCACAUUAUGAUGAUGUCCUACCGAGUGGGCCCAGAGAUACCUCUCCGUUUACACGGAGUGACAAAUCCCAGUCUCGAUCCGUGUGAACCCAACAGACACUUUCGGAGAUACCUGUAGUGCACCUUUAUAGUCACCCAGUUACGUUGUGACGUUUGAUACACCCAAAGCACUCCUACGGUAUCCGGGAGUUACACGAUCUCAUGGUCUAAGGAAGAGAUACUUGACAUUAGAAAAGCUCUAGCAAACGAACUACACGAUCUUUGUGCUAUGCUUAGGAUUGGGUCUUGUCCAUCACAUUAUUCUCCUAAUGAUGUGAUCCCGUUAUCAACGACAUCCAGUGUCCAUAGCCAGGAAACCAUGACUAUCUGUUGAUCACAACGAGCUAGUCAACUAGAGGCUCACUAGGAACAUAUUGUGGUCUAUGUAUUCACACGUGUAUUACGAUUUCCGGAUAAUACAGUUAUAGCAUGAAUAAAAGACAAUUAUCAUGAACAAGGAAAUAUAAUAAUACUUUUAUUAUUGCCUCUAGGGCAUAUUUCCAACACGAAGGUACUGCAUUUCUCUCAUUUUUGUCACCUGGCAAAAUGUUCUCCAUUAAUAAACUUGUAAUUCAGUUUCUGUUGUCACUAGAUUUUUUUUGUUAAAAUUGUAGUUUGCAAGGAAACUGUAAUGUUUGAUUUUUUUAAUUUGAGGUAAAGCUAAUUGUGUCUUGCAUACACUCGGGUUUUUAUUUGGGUCUGGUUGAAUAACUCAUAUCAGGCGGCAUGGAGCUAAUUUGACUCCUAAAGCCAGUAAGAGGGUUCCUUGGAUGGUCAAUAAGGGGAUGAUGCCAAUUAGUCUGGAUUCUGGAACAAUGCUAACAUUGAAAUCCUUGAACUUGUUGGUGCAUCCGUGCUUUGAGAAAAAAACAGUUAGGUAUGCUUCUCAGUUCUCACUACCUCCGCGUGAAAACCCAAAUUACAAAUCCUUAUUUGUUAUUUCCAACUACAUUUUGUGGCUGAUGGACAAUAUUUCCGUUGCUAACUUCCUUCCUUUGAAUGACUUGCCAAUGAUCUUUCACAAUUUAUAGCGUUUUACUUUACUUCUAUAACUGAUAUCCUUUAAAUUCAGUUUGUUUUAAAGGUUCACCAUGUUUCUGUAACAAAAUUUAUCCUGUGAAUUGGUAUGUCUGCUCCACUGGGCAGCAGCUGCAACCUUUCAACUUUGGCCCUUGCACCUUUGUUUCAUAUGUGUAUGCUCUAUUUUCCUGUCCAGUCAUUUGGUCUUUAUAUUCAGCUUGUGUUUGUCAAGAGCUUAUUCGGUCAAAGGUUAUAAGAGAUAUGGCAUUGCCACUGUUCCGCUAAGGGAUACGGGGUCAUGAAAAAUCAAGGUUUGUUCGUGUUUCCCACCAAUUGUUUUGUUAUACACCCUGUUCUUACUACUUGCAUGUGACAGCCCGAGCAGCAGGCAAAAUUCUAUUUCUUCUUCUAGAUUGCUAUACCAUUGUGCAAGAAUACCAAUGCAAAUGUGCCUUUUCAGUCCAUAUUUAACAAUGACAAAAAAUAUUUUCCUUUUGUUUCUUUUUCACUUGUGUCUGCACCGGAGAAUGUUCAUCCUUGCCUUCCAUCACCGGAGAAUAUUCAUCCUUACCUUCCAUCACUUGCUCUACUGUAACAAUGCUAAUUUCUCUGCCAUCUAAUUGCUCCAUACACUUAGUUUGUUUAUAUCUAGAGUUCACAUAGGGGUUAGUAAACAGAUAGUCUUUUUUAACCAAACGGCCAUGCAGGUUUGAGCAAGCUCAAAGUAGGCUGGGGGAUGACCAAUGAUUAUACUGAUGCUGGUCAAAGCCAUAUUUUUUGUGCAGGUCCUAGCAAGCUCAUCGCCCACAUAAAAUAUUCCUUGAUGGUGGUCCAUUAUUUUUGUGCAUAUUUAGCUCAGUAUUCGGCCAAACACUUUAACUUGUAUAUCAUAAGAAAGAAAUGCACAUUUUUUACUCGAGAAGCAGUAAAUCUCUUGAUUAUUAAAAUUGUCAGACACCUUUAUGAUUCAG